CCUUAGGGCAGGGUGAAAUUCCCUAUCGGCGGUAUAGCCCGCCUGCUUGUCAAAGACGAGCUGAUUCGGUGAAAUUCCGAAGCCGACGGUGACAGUCCGGAUGAAAAAGGU
rnacentral:ncRNA from 1 species